UAAACAUAUAGGUAAGUCCUUUCUCCAUUUGUUUAGUAAACAAGUACCAAAUACAAGGUCCUAGUGGGUAAGACUGAAACUGUAUAAGUCAUCACGUGAAUAAUUAUUUAAUUUCAGGCUGAGAAACACUGCAGAGAAGUGCUGAGCGCUCCCAGGUGAGCCUCUGCCUCAGGACCUUUGCAUGUGCCGUUCCCUUUACCUGGACUGCUCAGCCCCAGGUUUUUUCCAAGGCAGAGCUGGAUCGGUCUGGCCCUCAGUGGGGAUGCUUGAAGGUUCUCUGAGAUGCUUCCAAAUGUGGACCUGACAAGGGACAGUCACAGAUGCCCCUUGAGAAACAUUCAAAGGAGGCCACCAAACCAUUCAUCCCUGAGGAAUUAGCAGUCAGCUGCUACAGGGAAGAAUGCACAGACUUGUAGGCAAAGAAAGAAAUGCAGACAAAGCCCCUCUCCAUUUUGAUCAAAUUAUGAAACAGUUAUAAAGUGAUAAAACCCUGUGCUGGCAGGGAUGUGGAGAAAAUGACACAUCAGCUUCACUGUAAACACAUUCCGAUCCGGAAGGUCAAUCUCCGUGCAAGGAACAAGUGCUGAGAAACCUCACAGGCCCUCUGACCCAGUGUUUUGUCCUUUGGCAACAUGUUUCGGUCCUUGGGGACAAAAACAUUUACAGUUGCCUUUUUUAAAAGUGUGGAGGGGUAGAAAAAACAAAGACCAAAAACCCCAGAGGCCCUGGGCUAACAUGUGUGGAGUGCUCACUCUGUAAGAAAUGCUGAACGUGUAUUUGUUCUUCAGUCCUCGGAGAGCUGUGUGUUUUCUGACCCCUGCACUGCAGAGGAGAACC